rnacentral:lncRNA from 1 species
AAGGCAGACCGCCCCCGUCACCAUCCCGUUGACAAAGGCCGUCUCACAAGAUUUGCCUGUGUGUGGGUGGCAUAACGCGUUCCUGGUUUACCUCGUGGAUGGCUACAACAAGGCGCGAAUUAACCAGAAAGUAAAAGUGUACUUUUGGUCAAGUCGGCGGAUGGACUUGGUCAAAUCCGCGAAAAGGAGGAUUGAAGCAAUCGAAUUGACACGCAAGAUAAAAUGAUUGCUCUGAGAAUAGCAUGUAUCAGGUAUGGGGAGUGAUUUGCGGUUAGCCGCAAAAGGAGAAAGGAAAUGACCGACCCGGUCAGAUGGAUUGAGUUUGCUAUUUUGGGCCCUAAUGAAGUAGGGUAGUCACAACAUUCUCCAACCCAGCAAAGCCUUAAAUUGGGGCAAAGGGGAGUACCAAAGGUGUAGGUGCAGCGGCCGCAGGCAGUUGCUUUGUUCAGUGUGGUGGGUUCGACCACCAAACGUUAACAAGUGCUUACCGCUCAUGUACUCCAUGUUGCGGUAGCGGAUGCAGCUGCCCCAGCAAGGGCAGCAGAUAACCGCCAGGGUCAAUGGGACGUUGCCGAGGCAUGAAAAGGUGCCUGCAUAGUUGAGAAGCCAUAGCAAGUGUGUGACCUCGGCGAUAGAUAGUGCGCGCUGUAAAAGCUUUUAAGUUUUGCCGUGUGAAUGUCCAGCUGGCAACGGCAACAGCGGC